rnacentral:snRNA from 1 species
AGCUUUGCGCAGUGGCAGUAUCAUAGCCAAUGAGGUUUAUCCGAGGCACGAUUAUUGCUAAUUGAAAACUUUUCCCAAAUUUGUCCCUCUAACUCUCAUAUCUGAAAGAGAGGUAAAUAAUAUCUAAGGGACAAAUGUAC